GGUCGUCAGGACCUUGCUCAUCGCGUUCCCGUGGACGUGCUGCUUGGUGCUCCAGUUGUUGAUUCCGUUGCUGCCGAUGUCUCCGGUGGCUUCGAUCAUUUGCAGUUUGGGGUUUCCAUCUUCCUUGCUUCUGAUUCUCCAGCUGUUAUGCAGACUGUUGGACGUGUACGCUGGGGACCUGUUCGUCGGCGUGUACGACCACAUUCGUCUUCGGUUUCUCCGCCUCCAUACCGGGAUCGUCGUCUCCACAGUGUUGUUCCCGCUGCGGCUACUAGCCGUGGUCAUUGCUUCGCAGCUCUGGUUGUUCCUUUUCUGCCUGCUGCCUCUGGUUCCUCUGCCGGCUGGUGGUUCUGUUCACCAUUAUUCGCCUGAUUCUUCAGUUUGUGUUCUCGGUCAGGGUGGAUCUUCCGUUCAUCAUUGCGUUGCUCGCUGUUUGCACAUGACAUAUCUCUGUUGUUUUCCCUUAUCCUGAUUGUCUGCACUUUACUGUUCACCUAUUAUGGUUACUGAUAUUUUAAUUUGUUGCACGUUUAUUAUGGAUGUUGCAGGAAACUUCCUAAAGUAGCAAUGCAAGCAACCUCAGUCAGAGAUAUCAAACCUUUAGGAUCUCCGAGGUGUGCUGUUGUGCACAUCACAUGGAUGUGGGAGAACAUGAACAAGCAGCAUAAACUCUAUGAGAUAGGAUUCAUGUCCGUUGAUCACCUGGGCACCAUGAUAGAAGGUUUUCUACUCGCAGACCGGGAUAGAACAAUUUAAAGACAAACUAAUGGAAGGCAUGGUUUACAAGCUGGAGUCGUUUAUGAUCGUCGGCCCGCAGAACAACUAUAGAGCAGCAGGUCAUUGUCAUAGGAUCCAAAUUUCACAUAACACAAGAGUGAAGGAGAUUGUGACUGAGCCUGAGAACUUCCCUCUAUAUGCAUAUGAUGCAAAGUCUUUUGAUGAGGUCUGGCCAUGCUUGGACGAGAAACUGGUCCUAUCAGAUGUUGUUGGAGUGGUCACAAAACUAUCAGAUAUUAUCACACCAAGGCAGGUGAUCAAUCAAGGAUAGAAUGAAAGAGAUGACCUUGCCAUGGUGACCUUGUGGGGAUACCAAUCAGAGAAGUUUGAUGCAGAAGGCAUUCGGCAGAUUUCUUUGGAGGAAAACGUGUUUCUGUUGUUCGUGAAUGAAUGUUACUCUAUUUAAAGGAAUGCUAGGUUUUAAAGGCACUUCGCUAAACUGCUGACACAUUAACAUACCCAUUCCUGAAAUAAACGCCGUUCGCAAAAGCCAUGGAGAUAAGCGGUACAUAAUAGACUGGGAAAACUUUGGAGAUGCAAAAAAAUGAAGCAACCGAGACCACCCUUUACGACCUAUGCAAACAGGAGAGCGACACCAUCACCAUCAGGGAAAUCAAGCAAGUAAAUCAACCACCUAGCUGCAGAUAAAGCUUUUCAUCGGUUACGCCUUUAGGUCUAUCUAAUCUAAUAGUAUCCGAGGCGAAUAUCCUUGCGGUCUCCUAAGAUUGCAUACCUAAAACUCAAUGCGUGAGUGUUUGCUGUUCAGAGAUCCAGUAUAAUUAUCUAUGUAUAAUUAUCCAGUAUGCAGACCUUUAUCCACUACUAUGUAUCUUAAGACUCGAUGAAGCACCAGCUUGCUAGCUAUACUGCCACUUUAUCCUUU